rnacentral:rRNA from 1 species
CCCUACGGGGUGCAGCAGUCGCGAAAACUUCGCAAUAAGCGAAAGCUUGACGGGGCCAUCCCGAGUGCCAUCUGCUGAGGAUGGCUUUUACCCAGUAUAGAUAGCUGGGGGAAUAAGGAGAGGGCAAGUCCGGUGUCAGCCGCCGCGGUAAUACCAGCUCUCCGAGUUGUGGGGACGUUUAUUGAGCCUGAAGCAUCCGUAGCCGGCUGGGCUAGUCCUCUGUUAAAUCCGGCGAUAAAUCGUUGGCCUGCGGGGGAUACUGCUCGGCUAGGGGGCGGGAGAGGUCGUCGGUAUUCUUGGGGUAGGGGUGAAAUCCUGUAAUCC